rnacentral:tRNA from 1 species
GGCGCUGUGGCUUAGUGGGUAAAGCAACUUCCUGCAGUGCCGGCAUUCCCAUAUGGUCCUGAUUCGAGUCCUGGCUGCUCCA